AUGCGAGAGCCGGGGAACUAUGGUACCCUGGGGUACCGCCCUGAGGUUCAAUUAUCAGAACUGGUCCCGAGGCCUCUCCUAGAUCAACUCCGCUUCAAAUAAGUACCUAGUUUGGUGUGUGACGUACCUGGGGCGUUGUGAUCAACCAUGCCCUCGUGUGCCACAGUUCCAGCUUCAAUACAUGCUGCUAUUUGCUUACAGCACUUGCCCCAACAGUCUACUGAGGCUUUAUGAUUGACCUCUGUCUUUGUCUGAACCGUGUGCAGAGGCUGGGUGUGCCCCCAAGAAACUUCAUACAUGCCGCUCCUUACGGAUUGAUAUACUUUGGUGGUUGGAAGAAACCAUACAGCCUGCCGGGGAGCUUCCCACUACACUCUGUGCUCAAGAGCCAGGACACGGAGUUUGUGGACUUUAUCAGCCGCUGCCUCCAAUGGGAUCCAAAUCUUCGGAUGACUCCCACUCAGGCGCUCGCACACAGCUGGCUUCAGGGCAUGGCCGAGGUCCAUGAUCAAGGGGCAGCCACGGCCACAACCAGCACCACCAUUACCACCGCUACCACCAC